rnacentral:tRNA from 1 species
GGAAGGGUACAGCUCAAUUGGUAGAGUGCGUGCUUGGUACACAUGAGAUUCUAGGUUCAAUCCCCAGUACUGCCA